rnacentral:tRNA from 1 species
GAGGGUAAAACUCAGUGGUAGAGUGCAUGCUUAGCGUGCAUGAGGUCCUGGGUUCAAACCCUGGUACCUCCA